AUCGAUGACCACGACUACGAAACCAAGAUGCGUAAUGUCGUGAAGUUCAUCGGUGAAGGCGACAAGGUGAAGAUCACCCUGCGUUUCCGUGGCCGCGAACUUUCGCACCAGCAGCUGGGCAUGAACCUGCUGCGCAAGGUGCAGGACGAUGUGGCGGAAAUCGCCAAGGUCGAAGCUUUCCCCCGCAUGGAAGGUCGCCAGAUGCUGAUGGUCCUCGCGCCCAAGUAAGCGCGAAGCCGAUCGCUGACGGAAGAAAAGGGCGCGCCGCCGGGUGCGCCCUUUUUCGUUGCAGCAGGUGCUUUCCUGCCCCGCGCUGCGGGAUUUUACGGA
rnacentral:misc_RNA from 1 species